AGAGACCAAGGAACACUUAUUAACAUGUAUACCUGCUGCACAUAUGGGAGAGUCCCAGGAACACUUAUUAACAUGUAUACCUCCUGCACAC